rnacentral:rRNA from 1 species
CCUACGGGAGGCAGCAGUAGGGAAUAUUGCUCAAUGGGGGAAACCCUGAAGCAGCAACGCCGCGUGGGGGAUGAAGGUUUUCGGAUUGUAAACUCCUUUUGUUAGAGAAGAUAAUGCCGGUAUCUGACGAAUAAGCACCGGCGAACACCGUGCCAGCAGCCGCGGUACUACGGAGGGUGCCAGCGUUACUCGGAGUCUCUGGGCGUAAAGAGCGCGUAGGCGGGUUAGCAAGUCCGAUGUGAAAUGCUAGGGGUUAACCAUAGAACUGCAUUUGAAACUGUUAGUCUAGAGUAUGGGAGAGGUAGGUGGAAUGCUUGGUGUAGGGGUAAAAGCCGUAGAGAUCGAGAGGAAUACUCAGUGCGAAGGCGACCGGCUAGAACAUAACUGACGCUGAUGCGCGAAAGCGUGGGUAGCAAACAGGAUUAGAUACCCUUGUAGUC